rnacentral:rRNA from 1 species
GAUGAACGCUAGCUACAGGCUUAACACAUGCAAGUCGAGGGGCAUCAGGAAGAAAGCUUGCUUUCUUUGCUGGCGACCGGCGCACGGGUGAGUAACACGUAUCCAACCUGCCCUUUACUCGGGGAUAGCCUUUCGAAAGAAAGAUUAAUACCCGAUAGCAUAAUGAUUCCGCAUGGUUUCAUUAUUAAAGGAUUCCGGUAAAGGAUGGGGAUGCGUUCCAUUAGGUUGUUGGUGAGGUAACGGCCCACCAAGCCUUCGAUGGAUAGGGGUUCUGAGAGGAAGGUCCCCCACAUUGGAACUGAGACACGGUCCAAACUCCUACGGGAGGCAGCAGUGAGGAAUAUUGGUCAAUGGGCGCUAGCCUGAACCAGCCAAGUAGCGUGAAGGAUGAAGGCUCUAUGGGUCGUAAACUUCUUUUAUAUAAGAAUAAAGUGCAGUAUGUAUACUGUUUUGUAUGUAUUAUAUGAAUAAGGAUCGGCUAACUCCGUGCCAGCAGCCGCGGUAAUACGGAGGAUCCGAGCGUUAUCCGGAUUUAUUGGGUUUAAAGGGAGCGUAGGUGGACUGGUAAGUCAGUUGUGAAAGUUUGCGGCUCAACCGUAAAAUUGCAGUUGAUACUGUCAGUCUUGAGUACAGUAGAGGUGGGCGGAAUUCGUGGUGUAGCGGUGAAAUGCUUAGAUAUCACGAAAAACUCCGAUUGCGAAGGCAGCUCACUGGACUGCAACUGACACUGAUGCUCGAAAGUGUGGGUAUCAAACAGGAUUAGAUACCCUGGUAGUCCACACAGUAAACGAUGAAUACUCGCUGUUUGCGAUAUACAGUAAGCGGCCAAGCGAAAGCAUUAAGUAUUCCACCUGGGGAGUACGCCGGCAACGGUGAAACUCAAAGGAAUUGACGGGGGCCCGCACAAGCGGAGGAACAUGUGGUUUAAUUCGAUGAUACGCGAGGAACCUUACCCGGGCUUAAAUUGCAGUGGAAUGAUGUGGAAACAUGUCAGUGAGCAAUCACCGCUGUGAAGGUGCUGCAUGGUUGUCGUCAGCUCGUGCCGUGAGGUGUCGGCUUAAGUGCCAUAACGAGCGCAACCCUUAUCUUUAGUUACUAACAGGUUAUGCUGAGGACUCUAGAGAGACUGCCGUCGUAAGAUGUGAGGAAGGUGGGGAUGACGUCAAAUCAGCACGGCCCUUACGUCCGGGGCUACACACGUGUUACAAUGGGGGGUACAGAAGGCAGCUAGCGGGUGACCGUAUGCUAAUCCCAAAAUCCUCUCUCAGUUCGGAUCGAAGUCUGCAACCCGACUUCGUGAAGCUGGAUUCGCUAGUAAUCGCGCAUCAGCCACGGCGCGGUGAAUACGUUCCCGGGCCUUGUACACACCGCCCGUCAAGCCAUGGGAGCCGGGGGUACCUGAAGUACGUAACCGCAAGGAUCGUCCUAGGGUAAAACUGGUGAC